UACGAAGGGUGCAAGCGUUGUUCGGAAUUAUUGGGCGUAAAGGGUUCGUAGGCGGAAAUUUAAGUCGGGUGUGAAAUCCCAAGGCUCAACCUUGGACGUGCAUUCGAAACUAUUUUUCUUGAAUGUUGGAGAGGGAAAGGGAAUUGCUGGUGUAGGAGUGACAUCCGUAGAGAUCAGCAGGAACACCGGAGGCGAAAGCGCUUUCCUGGCCAAACAUUGACGCUGAGGAACGAAAGCGUGGGGAGCAAACAGG
rnacentral:rRNA from 1 species